AACUAUUAGAAAGUAUUCCUUACCCAAAAAAAAACUAUUAGAAAAUAUUUGUAAGGGAAUGAGAGGAGAAUGACUCUAAGUUUCCUGGAGACUACUUUUGAACAAUGGAUUGUAUCUUUUUGCCAUCCAGUGUCCGAUCGACACGAUUGUUGCGUCAAAUGACAGACUUGGGUUCUUACUACUUGUUUGGUUCGCUUGAUAGCGAAUUCAUUCCCAGUCUAUUCCAAAUAAAACUGUUAUUGGAAAUUAUUCUGCUGGACUUUAUGAACAACAUCAGUAAUAACAGUAGCAGCUACAUGACGCACCAUCCUGUGGAUGCAAGGGCUGUCACUGGUUGCCCCGUUGGGCCAUUUCUCACCCAAGACAGAUCUUCUUGAAGAGCUCAAAAGGUUUUAAAGCGCCAAUUAUUCCAAUAAAUGAUGUACAAAUUAACGUCUUCUCUUAGCCCUUAUACGAGGCCUUUUUAAAAGUUGCGAUCUGGAUAAAAGGUAGUUCGUUGGGUCUUUCUUCCUCGUUUUUGCAUUACUUUGCAGAUAUUGCAGCACAAAAGGAGCAGACUCACUGAACAUCAUCAAUUUACCUCCAUUUUCUGAAAGAAAUGCAUG